rnacentral:rRNA from 1 species
GCAGCCGCGGUAAUUCCAGCUCCAAUAGCGUAUAUUAAAGUUGUUGCAGUUAAAAAGCUCGUGGUUGAAUUUCGGGAUCAAUAUGUCGGUCGUGCCGUCGGUACGUACUGGUAUCAUUGAUUUCUCCUUUCUGACGAACAAUGAUGUCAUUAAUUUGGGAGUUAGGACUUAUGAAAAAAUUAGAGUGUUUAAAGCAGGCAUUAGCUUGAAUACAUUAGCAUGGAAUAAUGAAAUAAGACAUUUGAUCUUAUUUUGUUGGUUUCUAGGAUCAACGUAAUGAUUAAUAGGGAUAGUUGGG